rnacentral:rRNA from 1 species
GACGAACGCUGGCGGCGUGCCUAAUACAUGCAAGUCGAACGCUUCUUUCCUCCCGAGUGCUUGCACUCAAUUGGAAAGAGGAGUGGCGGACGGGUGAGUAACACGUGGGUAACCUACCCAUCAGAGGGGGAUAACACUUGGAAACAGGUGCUAAUACCGCAUAACAGUUUAUGCCGCAUGGCAUAAGAGUGAAAGGCGCUUUCGGGUGUCGCUGAUGGAUGGACCCGCGGUGCAUUAGCUAGUUGGUGAGGUAACGGCUCACCAAGGCCACGAUGCAUAGCCGACCUGAGAGGGUGGUCGGCCACACUGGGGCUGAGACACGGCCCAGACUCCUACGGGAGGCAGCAGUAGGGAAUCUUCGGCAAUGGACGAAAGUCUGACCGAGCAACGCCGCGUGAGUGAAGAAGGUUUUCGGAUCGUAAAACUCUGUUGUUAGAGAAGAACAAGGACGUUAGUAACUGAACGUCCCCUGACGGUAUCUAACCAGAAAGCCACGGCUAACUACGUG